GAUGAACGCUGGCGGCGUGCUUAACACAUGCAAGUCGAACGGAAAGGCUCCUGCUUGCCGGGGCACUCGAGUGGCGAACGGGUGAGUAACACGUGGGUGAUCUGCCCUGCACUUCGGGAUAAGCCUGGGAAACUGGGUCUAAUACCGGAUAGGACCAUCGUUUAGUGUCGGUGGUGGAAAGUUUUUGCGGUGUGGGAUGAGCUCUCGGCCUAUCCGCUUGUUGGUGGGGUAAUGGCCGACGAAGGCAUAGCCGGGUAGCCGGCCUGAGAGGGUGUACGGCGACAAGGGGCCUGAGAGAGGGCGCAGAAUCCAACGGGAGGCAGUGGUGGGGAAUAUGGCGGAGUGGGGGCAAGCCUGAGGCAGAGAUGCCGGGUGGGGGAUGACGGCCUUCGGGUUGUAAACACCUGUCGCCAGGGACGAAGCGAAAGUGACGGUACCUGGAUAGGAAGCAACGGCUAACUACGUG
rnacentral:rRNA from 1 species